rnacentral:rRNA from 1 species
UGCCUAAUACAUGCAAGUCGAGCGGACAGAUGGGAGCUUGCUCCCUGAUGUCAGCGGCGGACGGGUGAGUAACACGUGGGUAACCUGCCUGUAAGACUGGGAUAACUCCGGGAAACCGGGGCUAAUACCGGAUGCUUGAUUGAACCGCAGGUUCAAUUAUAAAAGGUGGCUUUUAGCUACCACUUACAGAUGGACCCGCGGCGCAUUAGCUAGUUGGUGAGGUAACGGCUCACCAAGGCAACGAUGCGUAGCCAACCUGAGAGGGUGAUCGGCCACACUGGGACUGAAACACGGCCCAAACUCCUACGGGAGGCAGCAUUAGGGAAUCUUCCGCAAUGGACAAAAGUCUGACGGAGCAACGCCGCGGGAGUGAUGAAGGUUUUCGGAUCGUAAAACUCUGUUGUUAGGGAAGAACAAGUACCGUUCGAAUAGGGCGGUACCUUGACGGUACCUAACCAGAAAGCCACGGCUAACUACGUGCCAGCACCCGCGGUAAUACGUAGGUGGCAAGCGUUGUCCGGAAUUAUGGGGCGUAAAGCGCGCGCAGGCCGUUUCUUAAGUCUAAUGUGAAAGCCCCCGGCUCACCCGGGGAGGGUCAUUGGAAACUGGGGAACUUGAGUGCAAAAAAGGAGAGUGGAAUUCCACGUGUAGCGUUGAAAUGCGUAGAGAUGUGAAGGAACACCAGUGGCGAAGGCAACUCUCUGGUCUGUAACUGACGCUGAGGCGCGAAAGCGUGGGGAGCGAACAGGAUUAGAUACCCUGCUAGUCCACGCCGUAAACGAUAAGGGCUAAGUGUAGAGGGUUUCCGCCCUUUAUUGCUGCAGCAAACGCAUUAACACUCCGCCUGGGGAGUACGGUCGCAGGACUGAAACUCAAGGAAUUGACGGGGGCCCGCACAGC